AUUGAACGCUGGCGGCAGGCCUAACACAUGCAAGUCGAGCGGAGCGGCGGACGGGUGAGUAACACGUGGGAACCUACCCAUCAGAGGGGGAUAACACUUGGAACCAGGUGCUAAUACCGCAUACUGAUGGAUGGACCCGCGGUGCAGUAGCUAGUUGGUGAGGUAACGGCUCACCAAGGCCACGAUCCGUAACUGGUCUGAGAGGAUGAUCAGUCACACUGGAACUGAGACACGGUCCAGACUCCUACGGGAGGCAGCAGUGGGGAAUAUUGGACAAUGGGCGAAAGCCUGAUCCAGCCAUGCCGCGUGUGUGAAGAAGGUCUUCGGAUUGUAAAGCACUUUAAGUUGGGAGGCGUUACCAACAGAAUAAGCACCGGCUAACUUCGUGCCAGCAGCCGCGGUAAUUC
rnacentral:rRNA from 1 species